rnacentral:lncRNA from 10 species
CUCCGGUCACCUUCCACGCUGUGAAAGCUUUAUUCUUUUGCUCUUUGCAAUAAAUCUUGCUACUGCUCAGUCUUUGGGUCCACGCUGCUUUUAUGAGCUGUAACACUCACUGGAAAGUCUGCAGCUUCAUUCCUGAAGCCAGCAAGACCGCGAGCCCCCCGGGGGAGGAAUGAACAACUCCAGAGACGCCACUUUAAGAGCUGUAACACUCACCGUGAAGGUCUGCAGCUUCACUCCUGAGCCAGCGAGACCACGAACCCACCAGAAGGAAGAAACUCCGAACACAUCCGAACGUCAGAAGGAACAAACUCCAGACGCGCCCCCUUAAGAGCUGUAACACUCACCGCGAGGGUCUGCGGCGUCAGUCUUGAAGUCAGUGAGACCAAGAACCCACCAAUUCGGGACACAUAGCUCUCCACCCUUCCUCCUAAUGGCAGGACAUUUAAUCUGUUGGUUUUGAGAGACAGGACCAGCUGGAUUUCCUAGGCCGACUGAGAAUCCCUAAGCCUAGCUGGGAAGAUGGCCACAUCCACCUUUAAACACGGGGCUUGCAACUUAGCUCAUACCUGACCAAUCAGGUAAUAAAGAGAGCUCAUUAAAAUGCUAAUUAGGCAAAAACAGGAGGUAAAGAAAUAGCCAAUCAUCUAUUGCCUGAGAGCACAGCAGGAGGAACGACAAUCGGGAUAUAAACCCAGGCAUUCCAGCUGGCAACUGGCUACCCACUUUGGGUCUCCUCCCUUUGUAUGGGAGCUCUGUUUUCACUCUACUAAAUCUUGCAACUGGUGGGGCACGGUGGCUUACGCCUGUAAUCCCAGCACUUUGGGAGCCUGAGGCGGGCAGAUCACGAGGUCAGGAGAUCGAGACCAUCCUGGCUGACAUGGUGAAACCCAGUCACUAAUAAAAAUACAAAAAAAUUAGCUGGGCAUGGUGGCGGGCUCCUGUAGUCCCAGCUACUCGGGAGGCUGAGUUGGAGAAUGGUGUGAACCUGAGGAGGUGGAGCUUGCAGUGAGCCUAGGUCACACCACUGCACUCCAGCCUGGGCGACAGAGCAAGACUCCAUCUCAAAAAAAAAAAAAAAAAAUCUUGCAAUUCUCUUCUGGUCCAUGUUUGUUACCGCUCGAGCUGAGCUUUUGCUCGCCGUCCACCACUGCUGUUUGCCGCUGUCGCAGACCCGCUGCUGACUGCCAUCCGUCUGGAUCCGGCAGGGUGUCCACUGUGCUCCUGAUCCAAUGAGGCACCCAUUGCCGCUCCCGAUCCGGCUAAAGGCUUGCCAUUGUUCCUGCACAGCUAGGUGCCCAGGUUUGUCCUAAUCCAGCUGAACGCUAGUCACUGGGUUCCACGGUUCUCUUCCGUGAUCCACGGCUUCUAAUAGAGCGAUAACACUCACCACAUGGCCCAAGAUUCCAUUCCUUGGAAUCCAUGAGGCCAAGAACCCCAGGUCAGAGAACACAAGGCUUGCCACCAUCUUGGAAGCGGCCCGCCACCAUCUUGGGAGCUCUGGGAGCAAGGACCCCCCGACCCAAUAAGAGUUUCGCAAAAACUCGGUCAUUUUCAAGUUUAAACUUAGUCAAGUCCUAGCGUCCCAUUUCUAGGAAUUUAUCCUAGAGAUAGACUAGCUCAAGUACGAACCACGCAAGGAUAAGAUUAUUCAUCACAGCUUCAUCUGUAACAGCAAAAGACUGAAAACAACCUAAAUGUUCAUCCUACAGAGCUGUUGAAAUGCAUCUCGGGCCAGCCCUUCCAUGGAAUGCUGUACCUACCCCACAAAAAGAGAACCAGGAAGUUCUCCAGGCAAAAAUAUGAAAAGUUCUCCAGCAAAUGUUGUCAAGUAUAAGAAGACACGAAACUGUGUAUGCCAUAUGUUAGCAUUUGUAUAUAUCCAAGAUAUUUCUAGAAUGAUGCAAAAAAGAAAUUUUUAACAGUGGUGGCUCUGGAGAAAAGAAAUGAGUGAAGGAUGGUGGGGAGAGGGACAGAAAAGUGGGAGGAAAAUUUAAUUUUUACUAUGAAGCCCUUUGUACUUUUUAAAACAUUGUAUUGAGGUGAAAUUCACAUAACAUUAAAUUCACCAUUUUAAAGUGUAGGAUUCAUGGCUGGGCAUGGUGGCUCACACCUAUAAUCCCAGUACCUUGGGAGGCUGAGACAGGAGGAUCCUUUGAGGCUAGGAGUUCAAGACUAGCCUGGGAAACAUAGCAAGACCUUGUCUCUCCAAAAAAAAUUUAAAAAUUAGCCAGGCA